UCUCCCCGCGGUAGACUUCAAAUACUCUUUGUCCUGCCCCUGCUUGGCGAAAUUUACCGAAAUUAUCUACCUAUCCCGCUGGAGUGGGAGCCGGGGGAGAGCUGGAACCGCGUCUCUGCUGCUCACCUUUGUGUCCUUAGCUCCUUCGCAUGGGGUCCGACCGCAACACGUGCGCUGGAUAAACGCUUGUUAACUGGAGCUCCCUCUUUGCCCACUAGCAGGGCAUUAGCUGGUGCUGAAGACAGUGGCUGCUUGGCGAGCCUGGAUCUCCAAGUGACCCCCUCAGCAACUCCUGAUGAACAGGACUGAAGCCAAUAUUAAAGCAAGUCAACCAAAGGUUCUCUGGUGUAGACAAGACAGCAAAAGGACAGACUACCUUGUGGAACCUAGCAUUGUUCUCCUUCUGCAGCACUAAGUAACAUUUGUUCUCCGUUAAGAUCUUUGCAAACCACACACAAGAAUUGCUGGUCAUCCUGCCAAUAGAUGCUGCUCACAGAACCAAAUUUCCUGUGCUGAAUUGUCACUCAUGGGCUUGAGAGUAGGAGACUGGAGACCAAGGUGGCUAGAAUCCAGUUGGGCCUGAUGUCUCCCUGUUGAAAGGGCUCCUUGUGGAAUGAAUAGCACAUGGCUCCUGUGGUGGAUCUGAUAGUGGCAUAGCACCAAGUGAUGCAGGCCUGCCAGGGGCCACAGACACAGAAGAUGCUCCCGGGGUCCCCCAUGUACUCCAGACACACUGCAGGCCACCUCUCCCAGCAGGUUGCCAGUCAUGGGCCCCAUCAUCAUGACUUCUGUCCAAGGUGUGCUCGGAAAUCUCUUCCUUAACUGUGACUUUCUGACAGGUGGAGGAUGUGGUCAGGAGUGGGAAAAGGAUUCGAGACGGGAAGAGGGAGGGGUUCAGGAUGAAGAGAGAUAAUCUGUGCCACAGAUGCUGGCCCUGCAGUUAGCUCCCACCUAGUCCGUGCACACACAUUCUAAUCCCCUCCCAUUCCUUUACAUGCUGCGGCCAGAGAGGCCUUUCUCAAAGUGGAAGUCUCAUCCUCACUUCUCUGGUUACAGUGCUGGGCCAUGGUAACUUACAAGGCUUAGCAGGAACUGUCUGCGCACUCCCCCUUCCUGCCCACUACCUUGUUUCCCUCCAGUUGCGAGAGAAAACAUUGAUUGAGCAUUAACUAUGUGCCAGGCUUGUCCUAAGUCCUUUGCAUGUAUUCACUCAAACAAUCCUCACAACAUUCCUAUCACAUCUCCCAUUUCACAGUGAGGGUUCUAAAGCACGUAGUGGGUGAGGAACUUGUCCAGGGUCACACAACUAAGUGGGGGUGGAGAAACAUCAAAUCUAGGUGGUCCAGGUGGUGGCCAGAACCCAUCAGCACCUCACUACAGCUGCCUCCAGUUUCUCGCUCUAGGAAAUACUCUUCCCUGUCAACUCCUGUUGUCCUCUGGGCUCAGUUGACAUGUCAUCUCCUUGAGGAGGACAUCCUGAGAUGCUCCCCGACUAGGGUGGGCACCCACUUCCACACUCCAAAUGCCUAUUUGACCUGUGUAUCGCUGCAUCCCCACUGCCUGGCAGAUAGCAGGCCCCUAAUAAAUAUGAUUUGAGCAAAUAAAUAUAGUUCUUCAAAAAAUAGGGAGGACUUCUUGCUUCAGGUAAUGGUAGGCUAGGACAUUUGGACCAACCCUCCUGCAGAAAAUAGCCAUUUAUUUUGAUGCAAUAUAUCUGGCUAUGACUAGAGAUUUCAAAUAUUUGGAGGGCUAUUAUGUGAAGAACUAAACUUACUCUUUGUGACAUAGAGGUCAGAAAUUGGUCGUUUCCAUAGAGUAUGAGAGAGACAGAAUUGUGCUCAUCAUAAGUAUCUUUUUUAAAAGUUAGACUUAAUAAAAUGGGCUGCCUUGGUAGGUGGUGAGUUCUCUGUCACGAAAGAGAUUCAGCCACUUGCUCUGAGAAAGCAUGGAGAAUAUCAACAUUGUAAGGGUCGACCACCUCAUCUCUGAGGCCCCCUCCUCACUUAGGUUGCCAUUGCAGGUGGAACACUGGGCUGAGUGUCAAAGAACCUGGGUUCCACAAACUGUGCGACCAUGGCUGGUUGUUUUGGAUCUCAUUCCUAAUAUCUGUUAGUUAAGCUGACCCGUCAAUACUGACCCACUUCACAGAGUUAUGAAGGGAUUAAAUUAGGUAUUACAUGUAAAUCUGUUUUGUUUGCUUUUUGUUGUUCUUUUUUGUUUUGCUUUUUUCUUUGCAUUAUGAAAUCCCAAGUCAACUUUUUCCAUUCUUUUAUUUUUUUAAAAAUUGACAUCAUCAUUAUAACCACAAAAUAAUUUUUAAAAUGGAAAAAAAAAACUCACCUGCAACCCCACAAUCUAAUACAAUAAUCAUACUUUUUUCCCUUUAUUCUCCUUUAUUGUGACCAAGGAUGACUUUGGGCAUUGCUGUGAGGAACUAUUUCGUUUAACACCCUACUACCUGAACAUGAUGCGUACUCAGCCUUUCACCACCCCCCAAGUAGCUACACAUGAUGUGAUAAUAGUAUUGGUGGUGGUUUUAGAGAGUUGGAGAGAAAACUGAAGUUGGAUUUGGGUAAAAGAAAAAAGAGUGGGAAUUAUUUUUUCUCCAUUCUAAAGCCCAUAAAGCAAUGUUAAUUGUUCCCACCCCUCUGCUAUUCUGUCUCCUCAGGUACUGUGUGCAGAAAUGUGAUUGAGAUUCAAGUCAGGGCCUCUCUGCCCUUUUCCCUCCAGAAACAAAACCAAGAUAAUUUAUCCUGAACACGGUGAAAAAAGGAAGGGAGGGAGGAGAAAAAGUCCGGGUCUCACCUGGGAUUCUCUGUCUCCUGCAACAUGAAGGAUUUAGCCUGGGAGGAGGUGGUGAGAACUCUGGGAGAGAAAAAAGAAGGAAAGAAUAGUUUUACCCAUGCUGAAGUUAAUUUAAACCUUCACCUAGAGAAGCAAAAAAAAAAAACCCACACUUUCCCAUUUUGUGCCUCCCUUCCUAGAGUUUUAGCCAAAGGUUUAGCUAAGUAAUUGGUUUUACCAGCGCACUCACUCCUCCUAUCCCAAGUCUGUUUGACUCCCUCCCCAUCAUCCUCCUCACCUCUUUUCAGGCAGGGUGGGGAUAGCAGCAGGAGGAGAUUUUGGGAGCCUGGCAACUCCUGCAAGGACCGCAGGACAGCCCCUCUGUGGGGAUGCGUGGUGCCCCAUCUGCCGCCCUUCUGAAGAAUGCACUGCCUUCACUUUUUACUGUGUUAGAGUCCAUCCAGACUGUUCUAUCCAAAAAAGUUUCUUUUUCCCCCACAGGCAAUCAGGAAAUGAUUCCUUUCCCGACUGCUUCUGUCUAGUGCCUGGGAAUCUUGAGUCAAUCCCUCAGUAAGUCAGUGACUAGGGAAAUCCCUCUCUGAGCCUCCCAGUUCAUGUUGCUUAGGGAACCUGAUAUUUUCGUGAAACCUGCCUACACAUGGGCAGCCCAACAGCAGAACAAAUGGUGGUGACCAAAGUGAACAAAGAAGUAUAGUUGUGCCAGCUUCGUAGUUGCCCAUGUGGACAAGUCAGCAGGAUCAGGACACGAGGAAGAGUAAAUGUGAGACAGUCAAUGUGACUUCUGCGAUAAACAGAUUUUUAAACCCCGAAAUUUUGCAAAAUUUUGGUGAAACCUGAACUUUCUUCGUUGCAUAUACUGGCACUAUCUGUACCAUCAUACAACUGUCUCACAUUAAAGCUAUUUUUCUUGGGCACUGAUGAGUAAGGUUGGUAUAAGUUCCUCAGAUCAACAAAAACCCAUUUUCCUGUAAGUCUUACAUUUAGUAUUUAAGGAACUAAAACUUAAAUACAUUUUGUGAAAUGGUUGACACUUCACUGAUAAUGAUUUAUUGCUUGGAUUAAUAAAUUUUCCAAAAGUUGUCUUAUGUAGAAUAUGGUUUGCAACCAGCAGAACCAUUAAUCUAUACUGCAAUGAUAUGCACUAUGUAUAAUUGUUUAAAAGCCUCUACUUAAUGAUGUAAAAUGCUCUAUUUAAUUACACAUUUGGGUAAACUGUAUACUAACAUCUGAUGGCAUUUUUCCACUGUUUGUUGCUUUUUUCAAAUACUUUAUUGUACAAAGCUGUUCUUAAUAUUUUUCAAGUUUUUUUCUUUGAAUUUUGCUAAUGUUUUCCUUGAAUUAUGAGCACUGACAGAAUGUGCUUAGCACUUUUGGCUAUUCACACAGCUUUUGAGCAUGAUUUGCAUCCAAUAUUUACAUUGCUAGCAAUAAUAAGCCAUCUGUGAGUUUUGUCAAAA
ensembl:lncRNA HCG18 HLA complex group 18